ensembl:lncRNA
CACAUCCAAGUUGUACAAGCACACGCAACCCUCACCAUAGUGAUUCUAGUUAUAAAUCCACCAACUUCAUAUGGGAGACCAGGAGGCAACAGCUUUGGUACCUGAAUAACACGUUCAUACUUUGCAACUGAAAGAUGCAGACAAAUUAGAUCGAAUUCAGAGACCUGGAGCAUGUGACUUAUGAAGAGGCUGGGAGUGCUGAACAACUGCAGCAGGGGUAAAUCCAAGUUACUGUUCCACAUCCAAGUUCUCUACUUUAAUUCCUGUUUGACAUCUUCAGGUUACCCAAGAGGCAGUCUCAAAAUCUUUUGGAGGAACAACUGCCUUUGAUGUACUGAGAAAGCACUUAUUUUUUUCCAUAUUUAAUGCUGUCUGGUUCAGUUCCCUCGGAGUACAGUUUUAUGAAGAUAGAAAAGGUUAACUGUUGUAAGAUUAGCCUUUGCAGACUGUUUCAUUUCUAAUUAGCAUCAAAUAUGGGAAGUUGGUUGAAAAGAAGGGGAAGUUUCAGACUAGGGACAUCAUCUCUUCCCCUUGAUUUGAGACGGAGUGAGAGAGAUGAGCGUCCUGCCUAACAUCUUGAAGGCUCUGUGAAACUGGUGAAUGAGUGCUAAAUAUGCCUUUGCGUGGUUGAGCUCAUGCCAAGCCUCUGUACUGUGAAUGCAACCAAGUUCCCUUGGGCAGGCCAACAGCUGUAUGGCCUGAAUCCCGGUUUCCACUUCUCCACAGUUCCACAGAACACUGGCUGAAAGACAGCUGGAGCUUAAAACUCUUACAGAUAUUCAAAAUAUGGUACCUGCCCAGUAUCUUGUGCAGCUCCAUUUAAUGGAAAAAUAGCAUUCAGUAGAAGAAAUGUCAUGACUCCAAUCAACUAAAUAAGGUAACAGCACUAUGAUUUUUAAGGCCUACCAUUGACGUUGUUUUGUCUCUGCUCUGAAAUUUCUCAUUUCUAAUAUAUAAAUCUUUAAUUAGCUUACAUUCCAGGUUACAUAACAGCUGCCCCUUAAAAGACUGUAACCAGAGACUACGGUGACAAAAACUAUUGAUUGUACAUCUUAAAACAAUACUAUCAUCACUUCAGUUAGCUAGUUUUGCAGUAAGCUCUAUAUGAAGAUGAAACAUGAUGCAACUUAUGGUCCAUAUUGGGAGGGUGAGUGCUUAGACUGACCCUCUUCAAAAAGUCCUGUUAAGAGAGCCCUAACACAUGUCUUGAGAUCACCAUUAACUACACUUGCACAAUGAAUUAUAUGAUAAGCUCCAAAUUAGCUAUCACUACUCAGGAAAAAUAGCAUAGUCAUCACUACUGCAAAUCUCAGUGCCUCCAUUAGUAGGAAAUGCAGCAAUAGGAGUUUUUCAGAAAUGAAUAGUGAGCAUCACUAUUGUCAGUCCAGAAAUGCAUGGUCAACUACCUUUAAAACCUUGCAUGUAAUUUGAAUCAUCUUCCCUCAAGAACGGGGUGGCUGAACUAAUAAGAGGCAUGAGAAGGUCAGCAAGAAUGAUCAGAGGUACUGAAAAAGUACUACGCAAAGCAAUUCUCUACAGUCCAAGACUGUUCACCACCUUGGAGGACAGAUGCUUAGAGGAAGAGGAAUGGCACAUGAGAGGACUAUGAAGCUAAGGAAAUGGUUGAAGGGGUAAACACAAAGGACACCUACUUUCAGAAAAAAAGAUUCUGGAGCUCAGGUAAAUUAAUGAGCAGCAAAAUUUAAGCUAACAAAGGUACAUACUUUUCACACAAACAAUUAAGUCACGUCACUCUGUCAAAGAACGUAAUAGAGGCUGUAAGUAUAAUUAAUUCUGGCAUCAAGAUUAUACAGUUUCAGUAAGCUUCACAGUCUAAGGAAAUAGAUAUAUCUACAGAGAUAUACACACACGCAUAUGUAGGAAAGGAUAUUAGGUGUUUUCAGAUACACAAUACAUGACAAUUCUAUUUCAGAAGUUCUGAAAUUGCUGUAUAUUAGCAGCUCCCAUUUUAGAUUAGUUGAACAGACUGAGGUGACAAUUACACCAUUUAAUUAACUGAAAAUCUUAUUUUGAUGGAGAACAAGCAAGAAUUGGUGAGUGGAUUCUCAAUCUAGAUAAAUGUAAAUUUAUGCCUAACACUGAAAGUGUUAAUGACUUACUUGGAAUGACUUACCAAAUGAAACGGUACAGUCUAUCUCCUGGUGUAUUCAAUCCAGAUAAGAGCUAUGCUGGUUCAAAUAAAAGUUACUGGAACUGAUUUUACCA